rnacentral:rRNA from 1 species
GGCUCAGGAUGAACGCUAGCGGCAGGCUUAAUACAUGCAAGUCGAGGGGCAGCACGAAUAGCAAUAUUUGGUGGCGACCGGCGCACGGGUGCGUAACACGUAUACAACCUACCUAUAACAGGGGGAUAGCCUUUCGAAAGAGAGAUUAAUACCCCGUAAUAAAUUGAGUGGCAUCACUUGAUUUUGAAAGCUACGGCGGUUAUAGAUGGGUAUGCGUCUGAUUAGCUAGUUGGUGAGGUAACGGCUCACCAAGGCGACGAUCAGUAGGGGAUCUGAGAGGACUAACCCCCACACUGGUACUGAGACACGGACCAGACUCCUACGGGAGGCAGCAGUAAGGAAUAUUGGUCAAUGGAGGCAACUCUGAACCAGCCAUGCCGCGUGCAGGAUGACGGCCCUAUGGGUUGUAAACUGCUUUUGUACCAGAGAAAACCUACUCACGUGUGAGUAGCUGAUAGUAUGGUAUGAAUAAGCAUCGGCUAACUUCGUG